rnacentral:rRNA from 1 species
CGGAGGGUGCGAGCGUUGUUCGGAAUUAUUGGGCGUAAAGCGCGUGUAGGCGGCUCCUUAAGUCUGAUGUGAAAGCCCCGGGCUCAACCUGGGAAGUGCAUUGGAAACUGGGGAACUUGAAUACGGGAGAGGGUAGUGGAAUUCCUGGUGUAGGAGUGAAAUCCGUAGAUAUCAGGAGGAACACCGGUGGCGAAGGCGGCUACCUGGACCGAUAUUGACGCUGAGACGCGAAAGCGUGGGGAGCAAACAGGAUUAGAUACCCUGGUAGUCCACGCCGUAAACGAUGAGUACUAGGUGUUGCGGGUAUUGACCCCUGCAGUGCCGCAGCUAACGCAUUAAGUACUCCGCCUGGGAAGUACGGUCGCAAGACUA